GCCUGGGAGGCUCAGUUGGUUAAGCAUCUGACUUUGGCUCAGGUCAUGAUCUCGCAGUUUGUGGGUUCGAGCCCCACAUCUGGCU
rnacentral:tRNA from 1 species